rnacentral:rRNA from 1 species
AGCAGCCGCGGUAAUUCCAGCUCCAAUAGCGUAUAUUAAAGUUGUUGCAGUUAAAAAGCUCGUAGUUGAAUUUCGGGAUCAAUUUGUUGGUCGUGCCUCGGUACGUACUGGCAUUAUUGGUUUCUACCUUCUGAAGAACCUUGAUGUCAUUAAUUUGGUGUCUUGGGGAAUCAGGACUGUUACUUUGAAAAAUUAGAGUGUUUAAAGCAGGCAUACGCUUGAAUACAUUAGCAUGGAAUAAUGAAAUAGGACGUUUUGAUUCUAUUUUGUUGGUUUCUAGGAUCGACGUAAUGAUUAAUAGGGAUAGUUGGGGGCAUUAGUAUUCAAUUGUCAGAGGUGAAAUUCUUGGAUUUAUUGAAGACUAACUACUGCGAAAGCAUUUGCCAAGGAUGUUUUCAUUAAUCAAGAACGAAAGUUAGGGGAUCGAAGACGAUCAGAUACCGUCGUAG